UACAGAGGUCCCAAGCGUUGUUCGGAUUUACUGGGCGUAAAGGGUGCGUAGGUGGCGAGGUAAGUUCGAUGUGAAAUCUCCGAGCUCAGCUCGGAAAUGGCAUUGAAUACUAUCCCGCUUGAGGGUCGGAGGGGAGACUGGAAUUCUCGGUGUAGCAGUGAAAUGCGUAGAUAUCGAGAGGAACACCGAUGGCGAAGGCAGCCCCCUGGGUUAACACUGACGCUCAUGCACGAAAGCGUGGGGAGCAAACAGG
rnacentral:rRNA from 1 species